CCUACGGGAGGCAGCAGUGGGGAAUAUUGCACAAUGGGGGAAACCCUGAUGCAGCGACGCCGCGUGAGUGAAGAAGUAUUUCGGUAUGUAAAGCCCUAUCAGCAGGGAAGAAGAAAUGACGGUACCUGAGUAAGAAGCACCGGCUAAAUACGUGCCAGCAGCCGCGGUAAUACGUAGGGUGCAAGCGUUAUCCGGAUUUACUGGGUGUAAAGGGAGCGCAGGCGGCAGGGCAAGCCUGAUGUGAAAGCCCGCGGCCCAACCGCGGGACUGCAUUGGGAACUACCGGGCUGGAGUGCCGGAGAGGUAGGCGGAAUUCCUAGUGUAGCGGUGAAAUGCGUAGAUAUUAGGAGGAACACCAGUGGCGAAGGCGGCUUACUGGACUGUAACUGACGUUGAGGCUCGAAAGCGUGGGGAGCAAACAGGAUUAGAUACCCCAGUAGUC
rnacentral:rRNA from 1 species